GACGAACGCUGGCGGCGUGCCUAAUACAUGCAAGUAGAACGCUGAAGAGAGGAGCUUGCUCUUCUUGGAUGAGUUGCGAACGGGUGAGUAACGCGUAGGUAACCUGCCUUGUAGCGGGGGAUAACUAUUGGAAACGAUAGCUAAUACCGCAUAACAAUGGAUGACACAUGUCAUUUAUUUGAAAGGGGCAAUUGCUCCACUACAAGAUGGACCUGCGUUGUAUUAGCUAGUAGGUGAGGUAAUGGCUCACCUAGGCGACGAUACAUAGCCGACCUGAGAGGGUGAUCAGCCACACUGGGAGUGAGACACGGCCCAGACUCCUACGGGAGGCAGCAGUAGGGAAUCUUCGGCAAGGGGGGCAACCCUGACCGAGCAACGCCGCGUGAGUGAAGAAGGUUUUCGGAUCGGAAAGGUCUGUUGUAAGUCAAGAACGGGUGUGAGAGUGGAAAGUUCACACUGUGACGGUAGCUGAUCAGAAAGGGACGGCUAACUACGUG
rnacentral:rRNA from 1 species